CUUCUGUUUUUUCAAAUUAUGGAAUAAUUUCUUUGUUCGCAGCCUCCAAAUCGCAAUUCGAACGGGCACUCGGAAGUGAACCGCAGAUUAUAGAAUGCCACACUUUCAUGAACAAGCUGGCGCAUCAACGCUGCAGGGUGCAAAGCUCAAGGCUAAAGGGACAAAAUCGAAGUUCUAUGGAUGGUGAAUUCUCCAUGCUUGACUGCCACCUGCUCGAGCUUGUCUGCGUUGAUAUUCAUGG
rnacentral:misc_RNA from 1 species